rnacentral:rRNA from 1 species
AUUGAACGCUGGCGGCAGGCCUAACACAUGCAAGUCGAGCGGGGUUUUCGGACCUAGCGGCGGACGGGUGAGUAAUGCGUAGGAAGCUACCCGAUAGAGGGGGAUACCAGUUGGAAACGACUGUUAAUACCGCAUAAUGUCUACGGACCAAAGUGUGGGACCUUCGGGCCACAUGCUAUCGGAUGCGCCUACGUGGGAUUAGCUAGUUGGUGAGGUAAUGGCUCACCAAGGCGACGAUCCCUAGCUGGUUUGAGAGGAUGAUCAGCCACACUGGAACUGAGACACGGUCCAGACUCCUACGGGAGGCAGCAGUGGGGAAUAUGGGACAAUGGGCGCAAGCCUGAUCCAGCCAUGCCGCGUGUGUGAAGAAGGCCUUCGGGUUGUAAAGCACUUUCAGUAGGGAGGAAGCGUUGUGUGUUAAUAGUACACAGCGUUGACGUCACCUACAGAAGAAGCACCGGCUAACUCUGUGCCAGCAGCCGCCGUAACAC